CUAGACUAGCGGGGGCAGCCUCAGAGCGGAGAUGGGUCUCUGGACAGGCACGGUGGCUCACGCCUGUAAUCCCAGCACUCUGGGAGACCGAGGUGGGCGGAUCACCUGAGGCCAGGAGUUUGAGACCAGCUGGGCCAACAUGGAGAAACCCCAUCUCUACUAAAAAUACAAAAAAAUUAGCUGGGCUUGGUGGCACGUGCCUGUAAUCCCAGUUACCAGGUGGCUGAGGCAGGAGAAUCACUUGAACCCGGGAGGCGGGGGUUGCAGUGAGCCCAUAUUGUGCCAUUGCACUCCAGCCUGGGCAACAAGAGCGAAACUCUGUCUCAAAAAAUAAAUAAAUAAAUAAAUAAAUAAAUAGAUGGGUCUCCACGCUUUGUUGCCUUAGGCUGGUUUCCAACUCGUGAGCUCAAGUGAUCCUCCCACUUCAGCCUUCCAAAUAGGUGGGACUAUUUUAUUGCUCUUUGACCAUUUUAAUUGUUUUUGUAAACUGUCUGUUCAUAUCCUUUGCCCAUUAAAAAAAGGUAGAUCAUUUGUAUAUUUCUUAUUGAUGGUAGAAAUCCUGUCUGUGUUAUGGAUAAUAACUAUUCUUUGUCGUCUGCAUUUAAAAUAUUUUCUCUUUUUCACUUAUCUUUCAGCUUUUGAGACAAAAGUCAUGCUUUAUGGGAAAAUAUUUGAAACAUUUCUGUCUUUGCUAGGAACAAGCCAGGGAUGUUUACUAUUAAAACUAAGAUUUUAGGAGAGCUCCUGGCCACCCUAAAGCCUCCUUGAUUUCAUAUAUAUUCAUCUUACAAAGAGAAACGAUUGACAAUGUAUCAAAACUAUGGAGUUCAGCAACAUGACCAGAUGUCAGAUUAACAAAC
rnacentral:lncRNA from 1 species